AAGUCAUUAAAUUGAUUAGUUCCAAGUCAUUAUAGUUUCUAGUAAAGAAUUUAAUUUUCAUCGUGCAUUUAUUCAUUCAUUCAAGAUUUAGAAAAAAAAAAAAAAAAAAAAAAAACAUCAAAAGCACCUAACAUUCGCUUUGCCAUCCAACACGGACGGACGGACGGCUGCUUCACCAGAGAUACAAGACAUCCUAUAUGUAUUUUUUUGGGUUAGUAUCUUUGCCUACGUAGCUAAUUCUAUUUGGGAUAGCAAAAACAGUUGAUAGCUACGCGUAGUAAUUAAACUGUGAAGACAAC
rnacentral:lncRNA from 1 species